GCCGGAGUAGCUCAGCCGGUAGAGCGGCGCACUCGUAAUGCGCAGGUCUGGAGUUCGAUUCUCCACUCUGGCU
rnacentral:tRNA from 1 species